rnacentral:lncRNA from 1 species
CUGUUUCCAUAUUUUCUAGUUUUGAGAUAUGCAAAAACUUCCUCUAGUCUUUUGAUUCUUGCUUCAAGCUCCAAUCCCGAUGUAUCUCCAUCUUCGUUGCCAGGGCUCGCUCCAUCAUGAGACACAUCGCAAGUUCUGGUGGUGUCACCCACAGAUUCUUUGGAUUUUUCAGUUCUUGAGUCAUCUUUGACAGAAGUUUUCGUUUCAUUAUCACCCAUCUGAGAAAGCAAACUAUGGAGUCCAGUUGACUUAUUCCGCCACUCAAAGUAUCUAGCAGUGACAUACGGCUCAGAGAAUCGAGAUGGAAGAUACAGUUUAAGAUCCAUCAAUGGCCUUGUGUAAAAGCUCCAAGCUGAUUUAGGACUUCCGUUGUUUCGUGGGACUUUACCAGGAAUGUCUUGAUCCAUGCCAAAUUGCAUUGCGACUCUAUGAGGUAGAUAUUGUUCGAUACAUUUCCCUUGUAUCCCGACUAAUUCAGAAACCCUAAAACAUCGACCCCAUGACUCCGAUUCUUCAUCCAAACAAUCACCACCAACAACAACCCAUUUUCCGUUUUUCUCGUUACCCAAAUCAUCAGUAUAUGGUCGCCAACAGAAGUCUUCUGAAUCACGAUCCAAAAUUGAGCCAAUAUUGUCGAUCUGCACCUUCUUUUUCGCCCAUCUAGCAAACUUUGGGUUGCAGCUACCUCCGACAUUAGGCCUUAGCUUCGGAAAUCUCUCCCAGAUCCAGAUUUGAAGAAGUUGUAAAGGAGCCCAAAUUGUAAUCGACGGAUCAUCGUUCUGAUCAGUAAGUUUAGCUUUUAACAAGCUUAAAUCUCUGUAUAUGGUGGCAAGAACAGCAGGGGCAAGAGCAAGUCUAAUGCCUCUAGCUAAAUGAACAGCAAUGGGGAAAACAUUUCGAGCAACUGUUGAGUAUGAUGAAGGGAAUACAAACCUGGAUAACCAAAAUGCGAGAAAUGCUUCGUGCUCGAUUUCGCUUCCGCUGUCUUUGAAUUUCUUCAACCAGCUAACCUGAUCAGCUUUUCUAAGUGUCGAUCUUGAAAACUCUACUUUUUUUUCAUACAAUUUCGCUAAAACCGUUUUCGAUUCUGUGUUUUCAACAGGAGUAAGAACAGAUGCACCUAACACAGAAUACCCUCCGAGAACCAUCAUAUCUUCCAAAGUGAUUGUAGCUUCCCCGAAUACAAACACGAAUGUUUUGGUCUCAUGACACCAUUUUUGUGCAAACCCAAGAAUCAAGUCAUCGUUUUUCGUGAUUUCAUAUGAGGAAUUCUACACAGCUUGCUCUAUUCCUGCUUUUUUCCAGGUAGAUUGGUGCAUACAAUGCAUGCGAUCAACCCAUGGUUUCCAAUCCCUGUGUGUGGUUCUCCAACCAUUGAAGGACACAUUCAACGAACUUUUUUCUGGAACAGAAGACGCUGUAGGAAGAUUAAAAGGAAAGGGUUGGACAUCAAUGGAGCUAACAGAGGGUUUUAAAAAUCGGGCAACUUUGCGAGUUGGGUGAUGGUGUUUAGCAAGUUUGGGUGAUACCAUGAGCUCCUCCCUCUCUUCCAUGCUGGCGUCUUCGGAUGUUGCUGCCAUUGUUGGACCUCAGGACAGAAAGUGGAGAAUGCAUAACAAAAGGGUAAAUUUGUAUUUACCCUUUUUACCCAUUGUUUUACCCAAUUUUCCUUUUGCUUUAACUUUUAACCCUCACACAAAAGCUUGGGUGUUCAAAAUUUGUUUCUUUCAGGCUAAACUGCACAAAUAGCCUUGUUUAUUCAAAAUUCUCACGUCCAAAAAGAUUUGGGUGGUCCAAACUUUUCAUUGGUUUAUUCAAAAUUGCCAUGUUCAAAAA